AUUGAACGCUGGCGGCAUGCUUUACACAUGCAAGUCGAACGGUAACAGGGAGCUUGCUCCGCUGACGAGUGGCGAACGGGUGAGUAAUGCGUCGGAACGUGCCGAGUAGUGGGGAUAACGCAUCGAAAGGUGUGCUAAUACCGCAUACGUACUGAGGUAGAAAGUGGGGGACCUUCGGGCCUCACGCUAUUCGAGCGGCCGACGUCUGAUUAGCUAGUUGGUGAGGUAAAGGCUCACCAAGGCGACGAUCAGUAGCGGGUCUGAGAGGAUGAUCCGCCACACUGGGACUGUGACACGGCCCAGACUCCUACGGGAGGCAGCAGUGGGGAAUUUUGGACAAUGGGCGCAAGCCUGAUCCAGCCAUGCCGCGUGUCUGAAGAAGGCCUUCGGGUUGUAAAGGACUUUUGUCCGGGAGCAAAUGCUGGUGGCUAACAUCCACCGGAGCUGAGAGUACCGGAAGAAUAAGCACCGGCUAACUACGUGCCAGCAGCCGCAGUAACAC
rnacentral:rRNA from 1 species